AACAGCUCAAAUUUGAAAUCUGGCCCCUCCCGGGGUCCGAGUUGUAAUUUGCAGAGGAUGUUUCGGGUUCGGCUGCGGUCUAAGUUCCUUGGAACAGGACGUCAUGGAGGGUGAGAAUCCCGUGUGGGACUGCCGGCCACGCCCGUGUGAAACGCCUUCGACGAGUCGAGUUGUUUGGGAAUGCAGCUCCAAAUGGGUGGUAAAUUUCAUCUAAAGCUAAAUACCGGCCAGAGACCGAUAGCGCACAAGUAGAGUGAUCGAAAGAUGAAAAGCACUUUGAAAAGAGAGUUAAAAAGCAUGUGAAAUUGUUGAAAGGGAAGCGCUUGCAACCAGACUUGGUCCCGGGUGCUCAGCCGGCGUUCUCGCCGGUGCACUCGCCCGGGGACAGGCCCGCAUCGGUUCAGGCGGCCUCACAAAGGCCCCCGGAAUGUAGCUCCUCUCGGGGAGUGUUAUAGCCGGGGGUGCAAUGUGGCCCGCCCGGACCGAGGUUCGCGCUCCGGCACGGAUGCGGGCGUAAUGGUUGUAAGCGGCCCGUCUUGAAACACGGGACCAAGGAGUUGACCAUCUGUGCCGAGUGUUUGGGUGUCAAACCCACACGCGGAAUGAAAGUGAACGGAGGUGGGAGCCCUUCCGGGGGCGCACCAUCGACCGAUCCUGAUGUCUUCGGAUGGAUUUGAGUAAGAGCACAGCUGGUCUGACCCGAAAGAUGGUGAACUAUGCCUGAAUAGGGUGAAGCCAGAGGAAACUCUGGUGGAGGCUCGCAGCGGUUCUGACGUGCAAAUCGAUCGUCAAAUUUGGGCAUAGGUAUGUGUACCCGAUUUCCCGAACGAAUGUUGAAUUGAUGGCUAACUUGGAUUGUAACAGGGGCGAAAGACUAAUCGAACCAUUGACCGGUGGGCAUACUUGGCUACUUAGGUGGUUGAGAGAUGGGCAUUUACGUGCCAGUCAUCUAGUCCCCGAUUGGGGGCAACACUGUCAAACUGUCGGGGACAUCUCUGGAUAUUCUGGAGACAACCCGCAGCUGAGUCCCGAGGGGUCUAGGACCUCGCAGGACUUGUUCACAGACUAAAUGACAGUGGGUGGUGUGCCCCGGGAGCAGUCCCGGGGCCGUCGCUUAAGAUAUAGCCGGGCUGACUCCGUGAUGGGUCAGGCGGGGGACGGUGAACAUCCGUCCCCCGGAACCGCUAGUAGCUGGUUCCUGUCGAAGUUUCCCUCAGGAUAGCAGUAACGUUUUCAGUUUUAUGAGGUAAAGCGAAUGAUUAGAGGCCUUGGGGUUGAAACAACCUUAACCUAUUCUCAAACUUUAAAUAUGUAAGAAGUCCUUGUUGCUUAAUUGAACGUGGACAUUCGAAUGUAUCGUUACUAGUGGGCCAUUUUUGGUAAGCAGAACUGGCGAUGCGGGAUGAACCGAACGUGAGGUUAAGGUGCCGGAAUGCACGCUCAUCAGACACCACAAAAGGUGUUAGUUCAUCUAGACAGCCGGACGGUGGCCAUGGAAGUCGGAACCCGCUAAGGAUCGUGUAACAACUCACCGGCCGAAUGAACUAGCCCUGAAAAUGGAUGGCGCUCAAGCGUGCUACCUAUACCUCGCCGUCGGGGUAGAUACGAUGCCCCGACGAGUAGGCAGGCGUGGNGGUCCGUGACGAAGCNUCGAGAGUGAUCC
rnacentral:rRNA from 1 species